rnacentral:lncRNA from 1 species
CAGAACAUUGCAAGAAAAGGGAAGGAAAUCCAGUCACAGGCUACAACAGGAAUGAAUCUCAAGGAUGUACGGCUAGGUGAAAUGAGCGAGUUGUAGAAGGACAGAUAUUGUAAGUAAAGUAGCCCAAAUCGUAGAAACAGAAAGUAGAAAGGUAGUUGCCUAGGGUGAGGGUGGGGAGAAUAGGGUUUUGUGGGUAUAAGAGUUUUAGUUUUUGCAAAAUGAAAAUAUCAAAGAUAUCUGUCACAUAAUAAUCUAAAUAUACUUAACACUACUGAACUACGUAUUCAAAAUGGUUGACAGUAGACUUACUGUUCUGUGCUUUUUUAACCAUGAUUAGAAAUUCACAAAAAAACUCAACACUUUAACCAUUUUAGAGUAUCCAAUUCAAUGGUUUUGAGUAUUUAAAAUUUUACAACCCCCACUAUCUAAUUCCAAUACAUUCUUAUCACCCCAAAAAGAAGCCCUAUACUCAUUAAGCAGCCAUUUGCAUUCUCCUCUUCUCUACCUGCUCCUGGCAACCACUAAUCUGCUUUCUGUCUCUAUGGAUUUGCCAAAUUUCUGUAAAUGGAGUCAAAUAAUAGGUAGCUUCUUGUGUAUGGCUUAUUUCACUUACAAUGUUUUCAAGGCUGCUUUAUGUUUGCAUGGACUGGCACUUUCUUUUUAUGGCUUAAUAAUAUUCUGUUAUAUGAACAUACCUCAUUUCGUUUAUUCAUUCAUCAGUUGAUAGACAUUGGGUUCCACUUUUUUGCUCCUACAAAAAAUGCCGCUAUGAACGUACAUUCUGCUUUGGUCAUAGAAACAGACCAGAAGGAUACACAUCAGAUUAAUAAUAACAAUUUCUGGGAAUAAAAGGGAGGGAGAGGAAUUGGGCUGGGCAGAGGAACAAAGGAGACUGACUUCAAGGUUAUCUGUGAUGUUCUAUUUAUUUUACAUAAAAAUAUAUCUGGAACAAAACUGUUAACAGCUGGUCAUUCUGUUCUAGGUAAUGAGCACACGCAUGUUUGAGCUUUUCUGUAUUUUAAAUUGUAAAUAAAACAAUGCAUAUUCUGAACCUAAACCUGCCUGUAGCAAAGAUCUAGCAUCAGGGCCUGUGGUGUCCAGGAUAAGCAGGAAGAAGAGGCCAAGCCCAAGGCCAGGGAGGAGGGGCCCCUGACCCUGGCUGUAUGGCUUUCCUCGGGCUCCCAACAAGAGGGCCCAGAUCUGAUCUCCAUGAUUGUUGGUAGGAGAGCCCGGAGCAGGCCCAGGCCAGGAAAGUCUGUAACCCCAUGUUUUCUUCCUUCAUGGUAUGUUCUGGCUGCCAGGAACUAUCCAUUCCCCUACCCCUCUGCUCAGGACCAGCUAUAUAAUUCACAAGGUCCCAUGCUAAAUGACAACACAGACGCUCUUGUUUGAAGGCUGAUGUCAAGGAGCAACUCUGAGAGGCAGCCAUAAGGUAUCAUAUGCAGGGACAGAUGCAGGAGCCACGAGUCAAGUCACUCACUGAAUUCACUCAUUCAAAUGAGUGUUUAGCAUGUUCCUGGCACCGCGCUAGGCACUGGGCAUACAAACAGUGAGCGAGACGCAGUCAAGCCUCGAGGAGCUCACAUUCCAACGGGGGACACAGAUGCAAUCACAGACACACAAAACAGAUACAUGCACACUGCAGGAAGUGCUAAGAAGGAUUGGCAGAGGGGUCUAGGAGAGAAAACACCAGUGGCCCCUGACCGUGAGAUCCCCCUGAGAGAUGGACACUGGAGCAGACAUCUGAGACCACUCAUCUUAGCAAAAGGUGGGGGAAGUGGAGGGGGUAUGAAGUUGAAGAAGAACAUUCCCAAACUUUCCUGACCCAGGAACAUGUGACAUCUUCAAGGACUUGCACGGCCUGGAUAUGGAGACAGAGAGGGAGGGGCAGAGAGCCCAGAUAAGAUCCAAG